GUGGGGAAUCUUGGACAAUGGGCGAAAGCCUGAUCCAGCCAUGCCGCGUGGAUGAUGAAGGCCCUAGGGUUGUAAAAUCCUUUCGUUGGGGACGAUAAUGACGGUACCCAAAGAAGAAGCUCCGGCUAACUUCGUGCCAGCAGCCGCGGUAAUACGAAGGGGGCUAGCGUUGUUCGGAUUUACUGGGCGUAAAGCGCGUGUAGGCGGAUUUGUAAGUUGGGGGUGAAAUCCCGAGGCUCAACCUCGGAACUGCCUCCAAAACUACAAAUCUGGACUCAAGUAGAGGCAAGUGGAAUUGCGAGUGUAGAGGUGAAAUUCGUAGAUAUUCGCAGGAACACCAGUGGCGAAGGCGACUUGCUGGACUUGUAGUGACGCUGAGACGCGAAAGCGUGGGGAGCAAACAGGAUUAGAUACCCGGGUAGUCC
rnacentral:rRNA from 1 species